GAUGAAGAACGCAGCGAAAUGCGAUAAGUAAUGUGAAUUGCAGAAUUCAGUGAAUCAUCGAAUCUUUGAACGCACCUUGCGCUCCUUGGUAUUCCGAGGAGCAUGCCUGUUUGAGUGUCAUUAAUAUAUCAACCUUCUCUUUUUUGAGUUGGUUGGAUGUGGGGGUUUGCUGGCCUCUUAAAUGAUUCAGCUCCCCUGAAAUGCAUUAGCAGAACAACCUGUUCAUUAGCGUGAUAAUUAUCUAUGCUAUUGAAUGUGAGGGCAGUUCAGCUUUCUAACCGUCCUUGGACAAUUCAUCAUUAAUGUGACCUCAAAUCAGGUAGGACUACCCGCUGAACUUAAGCAUAUCAAUAAGCGGAGGA
rnacentral:misc_RNA from 1 species